CAGUAGCGUAUAUUAAAGUUGUUGCAGUUAAAAUGCUCGUAGUUGAAGUUCGGAUGCAGCUGAGCUUGGAAACGCUGUUAUGGUGCUUCCGUUGCUUUUGCUUGUCCACAGUGCGUUGCAAGUACGUAUGUGCUUGUGCGUGCAUUUUACUUUGAGAAACAUAGGGUGUUCCACGCAUGUUACGGCAUGAAUAUUCCAGCAUGGGAUAAUCUGGUACGACUUCCAAUCUGCCAUUUUGGUUCGUAGGUUGGAAGUAAUGAUUAAUAGGGACUGUCGGGGGCAUUGGUAUUUGACUGUCAGAGGUGAAAUUCUUAGAUUCGUUGAGGACCAACCACUGCGAAAGCAUUUGUCAAGGAUGUCUCCAUUAA
rnacentral:rRNA from 1 species